rnacentral:lncRNA from 1 species
CCCAAACUCCCAAAAAAUCAAUCACUACUCUCAAUAAUAAGCCAGCAUGCCUCGCUUCACAGCACAUGGCUAUUUAGUUAUAAUCCUCAUUCAUAAUCCCCAAGUUAAUUUUUGUUUAUGGAUAAUCCCCAAGUUAUAAUCGGUUAUGCAUUUUGAGCAACUCUGCUGCAUUGCUUGAAACACUCACGAAUUCCUCUUCUUCCUCCUCGCCCUCGAUGUCUUGCGUUGCCAUCUUAACAUCUUUUAGCUCGCUUUCCCAACUGCGGCGCUCCUUCUUGACAUCUUUCGAGCUGCUGAACGGAUCGUGCCAGUACCGUGGAAUCAGAUUUGAAAAGGACACGCACACCCUUUCAAAGUUAUUGGGUUCGACAUACACUGUCGUCAAGAACCUAGGACGGCAUGCCCAAAACAAACCUGUCCAAUAAUGUAGUCUCUUGGUUGAUGUUCAAAAACAGGCUAUCAUGUUGAUAUGUCAAGUGCUUGAUGGGCAUUGUAGGUGUAGUGUAACUAUAACCUGGGUUCUCUUUGAAAAUAAC